rnacentral:rRNA from 1 species
GAUGAACGCUGGCGGCGUGCCUAAUACAUGCAAGUAGAACGCUGAAGGAGGAGCUUGCUCUUCUGGAUGAGUUGCGAACGGGUGAGUAACGCGUAGGUAACCUGCCUGGUAGCGGGGGAUAACUAUUGGAAACGAUAGCUAAUACCGCAUGACAACAGUUAUUGCAUGAUAACUGUUUAAAAGUGGCAACUGCUCCACUACCAGAUGGACCUGCGUUGUAUUAGCUAGUUGGUGAGGUAACGGCUCACCAAGGCGACGAUACAUAGCCGACCUGAGAGGGUGAUCGGCCAAACUGGGAAUGAGACAAGGCCCAGAAUCCUACGGGAGGCAGCAGUAGGGAAUCUUCGGAAAUGGACGGAAGUCUGACCGAGAAACGCCGCGUGAGUGAAGAAGGUUUUCGGAUCGUAAAGAUCUGUUGUAAGAGAAGAAAGAGUGUGAGAGUGGAAAGUUCACACUGUGACGGUAUCUUAUCAGAAAGGGACGGCUAACUACGUG